GCCUAGUUAGCUUAGUUGGUAGUGCGUCUGCCUUGUAAGCGUUAGGCCGGGGGUUCGAUUCCCGCCCGGGGCG
rfam:Asian citrus Psyllid, Diaphorina citri - Florida Strain, whole genome shotgun sequence.